rnacentral:rRNA from 1 species
UACGUAGGGGGGCAAGCGUUGUCCGGAUUUAUUGGGCGUAAAGAGCGUGUAGGCGGUCAGGUAGGUCCGUUGUGAAAACUCGAGGCUCAACCUCGAGACGCCGAUGGAAACCAUCUGACUAGAGUCCGGAAGAGGAGAGUGGAAUUCCUGGUGUAGCGGUGAAAUGCGCAGAUAUCAGGAAGAACACCCGUGGCGAAGGCGGUUCUCUGGGCAUGUCCUGACGCUGAGGAGCGAAAGUGUGGGGAGCGAACAGG